UACCACAGGGUAGAACCACGGAU
rnacentral:miRNA from 1 species